rnacentral:rRNA from 1 species
UACGUAGGGGGCAAGCGUUGUCCGGAUUUAUUGGGCGUAAAGAGCGUGUAGGCGGCCAACUAAGUCAGACGUGAAAUCCCUCAGCUUAACUGGGGAACUGCGUCUGAUACUGGAUGGCUUGGAUCCGGGAGAGGGAUGCGGAAUUCCAGGUGUAGCGGUGAAAUGCGUAGAUAUCUGGAGGAACACCGGUGGCGAAGGCGGCAUCCUGGACCGGUAUUGACGCUGAGGAGCGAAAGCCAGGGGAGCAAACGGG